rnacentral:rRNA from 1 species
GAGGUAACUGCUCACCAAGGCUACGAUCUAUAGCUGGUUUGAGAGGACGACCAGACACACUGGGACUGAGACACGGCCCGGACUCCUACGGGAGGCAGCAGUGGGGAAUUGUUCGCAAUGGGCGCAAGCCUGACGACGCAACGCCGCGUGGAGGAUGAAGAUUUUCGGAUCGUAAACUCCUGUCGAAUGGGACGAAAGGGUCACGGUUUAAUACGCCGUGAUCCUGACGGUACCGUUAAAGGAAACCCCGGCUAACUCCGUGCCAGCAGCCGCGGUAAUACGGGGGGGGUAAGCGUUGUUCGGAAUUACUGGGCGUAAAGGGCUCGUAGGCGGCCAACUAAGUCAGACGUGAAAUCCCUCAGCUUAACUGGGGAACUGCGUCUGAUACUGGAUGGCUUGAGUUUGGGAGAGGGAUGCGGAAUUCCAGGUGUAGCGGUGAAAUGCGUAGAUAUCUGGAGGAACACCGGUGGCGAAGGCGGCAUCCUGGACCAACACUGAC